rnacentral:rRNA from 1 species
CCUACGGGCGGCUGCAGUGGGGAAUAUUGGACAAUGGGCGAAAGCCUGAUCCAGCCAUGCCGCGUGUGUGAAGAAGGCCUUCGGGUUGUAAAGCACUUUCAGUGGGGAAGAAAGCCUUGGGGCUAAUACCCUCGAGGAAGGACAUCACCCACAGAAGAAGCACCGGCUAACUCCGUGCCAGCAGCCGCGGUAAUACGGAGGGUGCGAGCGUUAAUCGGAAUUACUGGGCGUAAAGCGCGCGUAGGCGGUCUGAUAAGCCGGUUGUGAAAGCCCCGGGCUCAACCUGGGAACGGCAUCCGGAACUGUCAGGCUAGAGUGCAGGAGAGGAAGGUAGAAUUCCCGGUGUAGCGGUGAAAUGCGUAGAGAUCGGGAGGAAUACCAGUGGCGAAGGCGGCCUUCUGGACUGACACUGACGCUGAGGUGCGAAAGCGUGGGUAGCAAACAGGAUUAGAUACCCCGUAGUC